rnacentral:snoRNA from 1 species
ACCCUCCAGAUUCCUUACCCCUCGGAUUGAAACAGUGGUCCGAAUGGCUAUAAAAGCAGGAAAAGCGAAAAUGGAAAUGGACUUUGAUUCUUUCAUGACACAUAAGUUCAUUUCAAACAAGC